GACGACUGCAGAGAUGGGAGAUAAAAUCCAAUGUUUCGUGGUAAGAAAAGCACACCACAGAACCAACAAACCACUAGAGAUGACAAGAGUACUCACAAACAAAAAUAAGCAGAAAAGGAUGAUGGCUAAGGCAAAUCUAUCGACCAAGGGUUCCGAGACUGCAGUUACUCAUGAGCUUGUGACCUAGACCUAGUGUGCAACUACAAACUACUCUUGCUCUGCUAUCUGUUGGACGUGCACCCCCUGCUGACCUUCCUCAGUUUGUGCUCCGUUACUCUUCUUUUCAUACUUCUCUUCUUCAUCAUCAUAUUCCGUAACUUCAUAGUCCUCGUCUUCACCAAGCUCACCAGUGAACAAUGCUACUGCAUGAGGGAUUACUUUGACCCUGAUUAUUGAGCCAAUUUCAUAAUCGUGUUCCAUUUGAUACUGGAGUUGUUCAAGA
rnacentral:misc_RNA from 1 species